AGCCCAUGAUAAGGACAUCUUCUUAACAACUCUUUAAACCGCUCCCACGCUUCAUAUAAAUUCUCCAUGUUUGCCUGCAUGAAAUUGGUUAAUCAUUCCUCAUCUU